rnacentral:sRNA from 1 species
GCCCAAAUCGCACGUGCCUGUGGCCGCGUGCCGGUCGGUGGACAUCCGGACAAGUGGCCGGACGGUCGCCCGGAGCGGGAGCAGAUCAGAGGGGUGGAUUCCCCCGAGACGACGCUCCCGGCGCCUCGCAAGAGACGCCGUCUCCGAACCUCGACUGGCAGCCGGAGGCGAAACCGGCGAACCCCGCUCUCCACGGGGGACGCAGCUUAAAGCAACGACGGAGCGGGCUUUU